rnacentral:rRNA from 1 species
AGUGAACGCUGGCGGUAGGCCUAACACAUGCAAGUCGAACGGCAGCACAGGAGAGCUUGCUCUCUGGGUGGCGAGUGGCGGACGGGUGAGGAAUACAUCGGAAUCUACUCUGUCGUGGGGGAGAACGUAGGGAAACUUACGCUAAUACCGCAUACGACCUACGGGUGAAAGCAGGGGCUCUUCGGACCUUGCGCGAUUGAAUGAGCCGAUGUCGGAUUAGCUAGUUGGCGGGGUAAAGGCCCACCAAGGCGACGAUCCGUAGCUGGUCUGAGAGGAUGAUCAGCCACACUGGAACUGAGACACGGUCCAGACUCCUACGGGAGGCAGCAGUGGGGAAUAUUGGACAAUGGGCGCAAGCCUGAUCCAGCCAUACCGCGUGGGUGAAGAAGGCCUUCGGGUUGUAAAGCCCUUUUGUUGGGAAAGAAAUCCAGCUGGCUAAUACCCGGUUGGGAUGACGGUACCCAAAGAAUAAGCACCGGCUAACUUCGUGCCAGCAGCCGCAGUAA